rnacentral:rRNA from 1 species
UACGAAGGGAGCUAGCGUUGUUCGGAAUUACUGGGCGUAAAGGGCGCGUAGGCGGCUCUGUAAGUCAGAUGUGAAAGCCCCGGGCUUAACCUGGGAACUGCAUUUGAUACUGCAGAGCUAGAGAAUGUGAGAGGUAAGUGGAAUUAUGAGUGUAGAGGUGAAAUUCGUAGAUAUUCAUAAGAACAUCAGUGGCGAAGGCGGCUUACUGGCACAUUACUGACGCUAAGGCGCGAAAGCGUGGGGAGCAAACAGG